GCCAAGGGGGCGGGCAUGCGCUGUUGUUCAACUCAUUGGCCAGAGCAGUGUCACAUGACUGCCUGCAGAGGGGCGGGAAAUGUCAUGUUUCCAUCUCAUUGGCCAGAGCGGCUUCACCUGACUGCAGACAGAGGGCUGUGAUGUUUUUAAGUAGAAGCAUUGUUGUCCUUGACAAAGUAGAGGCCGUGUUAACAAAAGAGAAAAGGAAGGAUACCAUCUAUCAGAAGUUACCUCAGCAAUUUAAUAACAGCUUCUGAGGGGGAAAGAAAACAGAAAGAAGGAUGAAAUUAAAUGUCUAGAUCAAUUGAAAGAAGCAUCUUCUUUUGGACAGUUUGAAAUGUAUGCCCCAGAAUUGAAGAAAUGCAAUAUUAAUAUCAAAAGGCGGUUUCUAGAUUUCGGAUUCCUGGAAACGCUCCCAGGAACCGCCAAAGAGGAAGAGCAGAAGCAGCGCUGUUCCCGCGAACAGAGUAGAGUUCUAUUCUGCUACCAACUGGCCGAGGGACGCGGGGACGUCCCCUGCUCACUGUCUUCAGUUUUCUGUGGGACAAUGAGCCUCAGGCCUCCUAGCCCUGACUCUGGCAGAAGAGCAAAUUCCUUGGCCUGACCCAGCGGCACGUGCGGGCUCCUGGGGAGGGGCGUGGCCGACCCGGCCUCCCCCAGUGACCUGCACCUCCCCUCAGGCCCAGAGUGAAGAGCAGGGCAGCGGAGGCCACACUGCCAGGACCCUGGGCCUCGGGACGCAGCAGGCCGGGUUCCCAGCCUCCUCCCUGUGCGUUUGCUGGAGUCCUGUACCCACUCUUGGCGCCAGCCUGUCCCCAUCUCUGCCCUCCCCGCCCUGCCAUCCUAGACUGGCUCCCAGGAUGCCUGGAAGGCAGACUCUGGCAGCCUGUGAGUGGGUGGGAGGGAGGGCAGGACCCCAGAGGAGAAGGGAGAAGAAAUCAUGGGCUCCAAGUGGGUGCAUUUACUCCCAUCUGCUCCAGGUUAUCUUUAAAUAGGAUAAAAUUACCCUCUCAGCUCCUUUAUCUCCAUGCAGUACUUCUAAAAAAAGAGCAUCUUGACAUUUUAGGAGGAAAAAAAUAAGGAGAAGAUGAGACAUGUAAUAUCCAGUGUAUACUGAGGAUGGAGAAAUUUCAAUGAACUCAUAGUCAAACCUCCUUAAUGUCUUGAAAAAGAAAACCACACCGGGGUCUGAUGUCGGGAGGGGAGGAGAGUAUUCCAGGAGGAAAGCCCGGCUCCGAGGUAGAAAGAAGGCUGUGGGGAGGGGGUGGGGCAGGUUGGUCCCCUGGAGCUGGGGUCUGAGACAGGCCGUUGGGGUUUGGGGGGCUGAUGCAAGAACUCUGGGACUCAAGCGCCCCAGGACUCUGCACUCACUACCCACCCCCCCCCCCCCACUUGCUUUCUACCCCUUUGCAAACUGGCUCCUGGCCCCCCUGCUAGUGAGACUCUCUCCAUGGUAAGGCCUCACCAGCAAGUCCUUGCCUUGGCUGUCAGCUCCCGCCCUCUCCCCACGCCCACCCUCUCCCUGGUCAGCCAGGACCCUGUGCUCCCUGGUGGCCCUCUUCUGUCCACUCUGUUUCUGCUCUUCACUGCUCCUUCUCUGAAGAUGCCCCCAAGCUGUGUUCCCUAGUCCCUUCUCCUUGACCUGCUAACAGACCUGGGACUCAGGGACAUGGGAAGGAGACUUCGGUCAAGGUCACAGCAACAGGCACUAGAAGCAGCAAAUGGCUUCAGUAGAUACAAUAUUGCUAAUUGGAAACAACGAGAAUGACUUUAUACCCUGUAUCUUUUUGAAAUCUCUACGCUCUAAGGAUUAUUUGUAUCCUACGAGAGGCCCAAAGAUGGUCCAAAGAAAAUAACACUGUCCACAAACUACUGGAGCGCCUGCCUGAGAACCGCAGGACUCAGGAUCGUCAGCCUCCCGGGACGCGGUGGCGGGAUGACGGAGUUCUCCUCCAGGUCCCCCGAGAAUGCUGUCCUCGCCCCGCAGGCGUCUUCGCUGCAGGCUGAGUAGGACUCUGAGAUGGUCUUGUGCACGCUGAGCCCAACUGCUGGUCCGUGUCGACUGCAACCUGACUGACAGAGACCAAUAAAAAUAAUAUGACCCUUUCCUUUUGAAAUGUCCUCUAAUAACUCCAUUAGUUUCGCAGCCAAACCAAGGCAUGGAAAUUCCAGAACAACAGAGAAGUUUGUGCCACUCCCCCCCAGCUAUGGGGACUGUUCUCCCAAUCACAUAACUCGUAACCUCACCAAGGGCCUCUGUAGCCGUGAAAUGCUCUGGCCAGUGGGUGAGGGGCUGUAGGUGGACAGUGUCUGUGGGCAGACCAAGCUAAUGUUGUUGGAGCGGAGCAGGUCACCGCAGGGGAGGGCCCUGGGAGUGGUCACCAUGCUACAGCCACCGCUGCAGCCCAGCGUGACCUGGACAGCCCUGCUGGAAGUCGUGCUGUGCCCGGUCCCUGCAGGGCCGGCCGAGGAACGUCUAUAUUCAUUUCUUGAACUUCGUUCUGUUCCAUUUUCAUUCAAAUGACUUCCUGAAACCGAUUUUCUGGGCCCCUGGUGGCAUUUCCAUUCAUGCUUGCUCACUUUUA
ensembl:lncRNA